rnacentral:rRNA from 1 species
GACGAACGCUGGCGGCGUGCUUAACACAUGCAAGUCGAACGGAAAGGCCCUGCUUUUGUGGGGUGCUCGAGUGGCGAACGGGUGAGUAACACGUGAGUAACCUGCCCUUGACUUUGGGAUAACUUCAGGAAACUGGGGCUAAUACCGGAUAGGAGCUCCUGCUGCGUGGUGGGGGGUGGAAAGUUUCGGCGGUUGGGGAUGGACUAGCGGCUUAUCAGCUUGUUGGUGGGGUAGUGGCUUACCAAGGCUUUGACGGGUAGCCGGCCUGAGAGGGUGACCGGCCACAUUGGGACUGAGAUACGGCCCAGACGCCUACGGGAGGCAGCAGGGGGGAAUAUUGCACAAUGGGCGGAAGCCUGAUGCAGCAACGCCGCGUGCGGGAUGACGGCCUUCGGGUUGUAAACCGCUGUCGCCUGUGACGAAGCGUGAGUGACGGUAAUGGGUAAAGAAGCACCGGCUAACUACGUG